rnacentral:rRNA from 1 species
GACGAACGCUGGCGGCGUGCUUAACACAUGCAAGUCGAACGGUGAAGCGCCUUCCUUUUUGGUGGGUGUGGAUGAGUGGCGGACGGGUGAGUAACACGUGAGUAACCUGCCCCCUUCUUCUGGAUAACCGCAUGAAAGUGUGGCUAAUACGGGAUAUUCUGGGUCUGUCGCAUGAUGGGUCUGGGAAAGAUAUUGUUUCGGUGGGGGAUGGGCUCGCGGCCUAUCAGCUUGUUGGUGGGGUGAUGGCCUACCAAGGCGGUGACGGGUAGCCGGCCUGAGAGGGUGGACGGUCACACUGGGACUGAGACACGGCCCAGACUCCUACGGGAGGCAGCAGUGGGGAAUAUUGCACAAUGGGCGCAAGCCUGAUGCAGCGACGCCGCGUGAGGGAUGGAGGCCUGCGGGUUGUGAACCUCUUUCGCCAGUGAAGCAGGCCUGCCUCGUUUGUGGGUGGGUUGACGGUAGCUGGAUAAGAAGCGCCGGCUAACUACGUG